UGCGGGAAAUUGCGCCUGCGCGGUGGCCUUUCCGCUCUGGAGGUCUAGCUGAGGAAGAGGCUGGUGGGCGUCCGCCGCCACGAUGACCCAGGCUGAGAAGGGGGACUCAGAAAACGGGAAGGAGAAGGGCGGGGAGAAGGAGAAGGAGCAGCGCGGCGUGAAGCGGCCCAUCGUGCCAGCGCUGGUGCCGGAAUCGCUGCAGGAGCAAAUCCAGAGCAACUUCAUUGUUGUAAUACAUCCAGGUUCAACAACUUUGAGAAUUGGUCGAGCCACAGACACACUCCCUGCCAGCAUUCCUCAUGUCAUUGCAAGAAGACACAAACAACAAGGGCAGCCCCUAUACAAGGACAACUGGCUCUUAAGGGAAGGACUAAAUAAACCUGAAAGUAAUGAACAAAGACAAAAUGGCCUUAAAAUGGUGGAUCAAGCAAUAUGGUCUAAAAAAAUGUCAAAUGGCACAAGACGAAUUCCUGUGUCUCCUGAACAGGCACGUUCUUACAACAAACAAAUGCGGCCUGCAAUUUUAGAUCACUGUUCUGGAAAUAAGUGGACAAACACGUCUCAUCACCCUGAGUAUUUGGUAGGAGAAGAGGCCUUGUAUGUUAAUCCAUUGGAUUGUUACAAUAUCCAUUGGCCUAUCAGAAGAGGCCAGUUAAAUAUUCAUCCGGGACCUGGGGGCUCCCUUACAGCUGUUCUAGCAGAUAUUGAAGUAAUAUGGUCUCAUGCAAUACAAAAGUACUUGGAAGUCCCACUGAAAGACUUAAAGUAUUAUAGAUGUAUCCUAUUAAUUCCUGAUAUCUAUAAUAAACAGCAUGUGAAAGAACUAGUGAAUAUGAUACUGAUGAAGAUGGGUUUUUCAGGGAUUGUAGUCCAUCAGGAGUCUGUCUGUGCUACCUUUGGAAGUGGCUUAAGCAGCACAUGUAUUGUAGAUGUUGGGGACCAGAAGACAAGCGUGUGCUGUGUGGAGGAUGGGGUGUCUCAUCGGAACACACGGCUUUGUCUGGCCUAUGGAGGAUCUGACGUGUCAAGAUGUUUUUAUUGGCUCAUGCAGCGAGCUGGAUUCCCUUACAGAGAAUGCCAGUUAACAAAUAAAAUGGAUUGCCUUCUUCUGCAGCACCUUAAAGAAACUUUUUGUCAUUUAGACCAGGACAUCUCUGGGCUUCAGGACCAUGAGUUUCAGAUUCGCCAUCCAGAUUCUCCUGCCUUGCUUUACCAGUUUCGGUUAGGAGAUGAAAAACUCCAGGCUCCAAUGGCUUUGUUUUACCCCGCAACUUUUGGAAUUGUUGGACAGAAAAUGACAACUUUGCAGCAUAGAUCCCAGGGUGAUCCUGAGGAUCCUCAUGAUGAGCAUUAUCUACUGGCUACACAGAGCAAGCAAGAACAGUCUGCAAAAGCUACUGCUGACCGAAAAUCAGCAUCCAAACCCAUUGGAUUUGAAGGAGAUCUUCGUGGCCAGUCCUCUGAUCUUCCAGAAAGACUCCAUUCUCAGGAGGUGGAUUUAGGAUCAUCUCAGGGAGACUGCCUGAUGGCUGGCAAUGACUCAGAGGAGGCCCUCACUGCACUGAUGUCCAGGAAAACUGCCAUCUCACUGUUUGAAGGGAAAGCCCUGGGCCUUGACAAAGCCAUCCUGCAUAGCAUAGACUGCUGUUCAUCUGAUGAUACCAAAAAGAAGAUGUACAGCUCUAUCCUGGUAGUGGGAGGUGGUUUGAUGUUUCAUAAAGCUCAAGAAUUUCUACAGCACAGAAUUCUCAACAAAAUGCCACCUUCGUUCAGGCGAAUUAUUGAAAAUGUGGAUGUAAUUACAAGGCCUAAGGACAUGGAUCCUCGGCUGAUUGCAUGGAAAGGAGGGGCAGUGUUGGCAUGUUUGGAUACAACUCAGGAACUGUGGAUUUAUCAGCGAGAAUGGCAGCGUUUUGGUGUCCGCAUGUUACGAGAGCGAGCUGCUUUCGUGUGGUGAAAUGGGGAAGAAAAGUAGCUGUUGAAGACCAAAACAAGUCUCUUGGUAUAAAGGAUAUGUAUGUAUCAUCGCACAUGGCAUUGGCAUCAUUGGAAAGAAGGAAGAUUACUUUAUCUGCUGCUUUCUUCUGAGUGGUAAGCCACUGAACUGGACCCAUCUCAGCUAUUUUCUUUUUCUGCCAUUUUUCAAGGAUCACCUCACUUCUGCAGUUAUUUUGAAGAAAUUCAGUGAAGUAACAAACUGUGUGAUGGAAACAUAUUUCAGAUGGGUGGACCACCAGAACUUUAAUGAGGGGCAGUAGCCUUGUAGUAGGAAGGGAAGUGUUCUUGAUCUUUUCUGUGAGAGGAGGAAAAGCAUUUAUUAUCUGAACAGUUAAGAGCAGGCUUUCGCCCUAGUCUAAAUCACCCCCGAUAAGUGAUCCCUUACUUGAGAAAGAAUGUCAGUGGAGCACUGGGACCUAACUGAUUUAGUGAGUAUGUUGCAGGUAUCAUUUUAGACAUAGCACCUGAAACAUACUCACUAAAUCAGUCUUCUCGAGCUUUAUUUUUUCAAAUAAAUUCAUAGAAAUUAUUUAGGCUUAGUUACUAUCCGAUCUCUGCACUUCACAUCACAUUUUGAGUUGGUUUAGCUCUGCGGUUGUUUGUACCAUCUUCUACCUCCAGGUGGUAGUUUCUGUGUGUUCCAUUAAAGUUAAACCCCUGGAACUUAACUGGAAUUCUGCCCUCUACUGGACUAUAAAAGAAACUACAACUAAUACAGUUCAAAUAGCAUUUCCUAAAUAUAAGUCUUCCUGAGGUCACAGUUCUCAUAGCCUUCUAAGCAUAGAACAUGGAAUUGAUCUUGUUCUACAUACAACAUUGCAUGCAACUCAAAGGGUGCAUUUACAUUUCCUCUUGUACAUGUGGAGGAAAGCUGCAGAGUCUUUAUUGGGUGGCUGCGAGCUCUGAUUCUAUAUUAAUUCCUUGACUUCUGUUGUCAAGUAUCAAGUAUUCUAGAGUUUUCAGAGACCUUAGUAUACCAAUUGUUCUUAGGUCUUUUUAAAAAGUAAGGACUAGCGUAGAACAUCUGUCACAGGUAACAGUAGACUUCUAGCCAUUUUUUGCCCAUUUCAGUAUUUGUAGAAGCCUCCAUGGUAAAAAUGAAAUAGGUGGUAGGUAGUUACCAGAUCUCCAAGUUCUCACUCUGCUUUAACCUGGCAGAUGUGAUCCAGUUGUUAGCAUAUCAGGCUCUCUAAUAGUGCUCUAAGGCAUUAAAUAAAUGUUGUGUUAACCUUGAGAAAUGCCAAUGAGAUGGCAUCUAGAGGAAUCUCCUUUUAGAAAGUUGAAAACAUGGGGCUUAGGGUGUAACUCUUUGGUAGAGUGCUUGUCUAGCAUGCGUGAUGUCCUAGGUUUGAUCCCCAGCAGUGCCAUAAAAAAAUUUCAAAAUGUGAUUUCCUCAUAUAAGAAUACCUUUAGGGAAUUAUAAUCUUACCAUGCCUCCACAUUAGGUAGAUCCCAAACACCAGCACCAUGGUGGCCACUAGCAGCAACGAGAGAAGCAAAGGCAGCCAGCCUCCUAGCACGCUUCUAUCUGGAGAAAACAAAGCUUACCUUUAACAAAAUAAAACCAAUUUAUUGUGUAUUUGAAAACAGAGUUUUACUCUCUGUAGAAGUUUAGAUCCCUUUAAAACCAAGGGUCAGAUCUGCUCAUCAGUGUGUUUUCCCACAGUGUCCAGGUUUCUCAUUAGAUUCUCCCAAGAGAUGUGGGACCUGGGGAGUUCUCCAGAGACUCUUGGGUUUCUUGCUUCUUAAACACACACACAGACAUUUUCACUAUGGUAACCUGAGCUUACAUCAGUUUUGUGUACUUUGAGGAAUUAGUGUUAUUCUGGGUAUAUUUGUUAUAUAAAUAGUAUACAUAGGUGGCAUUUUUAAAAGCUGUUUUGUGAGAUGGGAAAUUAUGCCAUCCUUUCACAAGAACACUGAGGUUGCCACAGGCUCAGGCACCCUAACACGGAAGUUAGAAUUAUGAGGCACCCAGGUUGUCCUCAGUGUGUUUGGCUGAGAUUCUUAAGAAUUAACACCUUCUAUCUUUUGACCCACCCCAGGCUACUUGCAGGAAUACUUGUCCAUCUGUAAUAAAAAAAAAAAAAAAAUUUAAAAACCUGACAUCUCUAGAGAGACAAAACAGUAUUUCUGAUUUGUUAUCCAAAUGUUGGCAAAGUGACCACAUCAAGUCAUAGCCCCACUGAGACUGAUGAGAGAAUCAGAAUGCAUGAAAUAGACAUUCCCUCUUAUUCCUAGUCCUUUUACACCAUUGACUUUUCAAUAGAUUCCUGUGGCACUUUGUUCAUUGUGACCGUUUCAUAUAUCCUGUUCUGUAAAGUUUCGAAUCUGUAUUUGGAUUUGGGGUUUUAUAGGCCAGCACUGGAAUCACUCUGUACCCCAGUUCAGCAUACACAGGCAAAGGCCCUCGAGACUCUCUACAGACAGAGUUAAUGGAGGCUGUGCCUAUGACCUGGGCCUCUGAUUACCCAGUGAAAUGACCAGGCACUUACUGUUAUCGGGAGGGAAGGGGACAAUUGUCUUUGGGCAAAGCACCACGGUCCCUUUGCGUCUGAUACAGUCGUUGCCACAGGUAGGGAAAUAUGGAAUCAACUGAGGAAAAACCAGAAGUUUAAAGUUCACACUACACUUCAGAGAGUCUUGACAGUUUUUCUACUUCCACCAUGUCUUCCCCUUUUUUCUGGUUCCAACCUUAUCUCUGCAUUUGUCAUGGACAUUUCCCCUUAGUCAUACUUGUAUAGCAAUGCCUAGAAAUCUAGAAAUCCAGUCUAAUGACUGAACAUGGAAAUGUCCUUUAAGACUCCUAUUGAUUUUAUUAUCUAAAGGGGUUAGGUUGUAUCCUAAUACAUAUGCAAAUAUCUCCAGGACAGUGGAGUAGUAAGGCUCAUAUUAACCUCAGUCAGGGAAGUCCCCUGCCUGGAAAAGUCAGUGGUUUCCUAGAAGAGGAGCACAGUCAUAAUAAGCUGUGAAAGUCUGCUUUCUCUGACCAGUUUGAGCACUGCCUUCCUAUCCCACAGAAUGAAGGACAAAAGCUCCUUCCCUCUCCUCUCCAGGGUGGCUGUGUCCCCACAUCCUAAAGUCAACAGUUGCUCAACAGUUGCAAGAGAUCAGAGAGCAUCUAUCCAACCAACUUCCAUUUCCAGCUGGGUCAACUGAGACCCUGAGAGGACAGGCAGUCACUCUCUAAUGUUCAUAUCACUGAUCUGGAACCCAAACCUUCCAACUUCAAAUCCUCUGCAACUUCAUUUUGCAGUUAAAACUGAGGCUUGGGGAAUAAAAUGUUUCUCUCAUCUCAGUAUUACCAUGAGGAUCUGUGACAGAAAAUGGAAAUAAAAGCAAUCUGGAAAGUCAACAGCUACUAUAAGCAAAAGGGACUGUCAGCUUCCUGAUCUAACCAUCAUGAAUCCCAGUUAACAUCACUAGCAUCCCAAUGCAGGAGUGAAUUUGAGAGAAGUGACUCACCCCAUAAAAAAACUCACAAAACAGUGGAACAGUCUUUUAGUGUCCCUCCCCUCCCCAAAGCACCUCACUAAACUUACCUGAACCACAGCACCUUCGCUUUCCUCAGUCACUAGGAUGGCUAUCGAAGAUCGCUUUGUUUUGUUCUGGUGCAGGUGAAAUGAAGUCAUAUGAGUGAGCAUAUCAAAGACUGUCAAUGAAGAAGUCAUUUCCCAAACUGACUUUUCAAUUCAUUAUGGGAAUAAGGAUUCAUUUCAUACUUUGAAAACUUCUACUUUUGGUUGGUUUUAGUACUAUAUCCCAGUAUACACAAGGAUUUUUUUUUAAUGUGUCAAAUUAAUCAAAAUAGCCAAGCAUAUUUGGACAACACAUUUCUCUGCUCUCUGAAGAGCUUUCUUCAGGGAAUCCUAGUUUCUAUGCUUUUUCCUUCAACAAGAUAAGGAAGCUGGAGGUUGAGGAUGGGGGUGAUGAUAAGGGAACCAAGGAUAGAAGUACCUCAAACACUUGAGAAAACCAAAUUCUGGUGCUCUGUUGGAUAAGAACCGUGUAUCUGUUUCCAAGGGAACUGGUUGUAAAAUUCACUUCAACCAUCUUCUCAUUCUUCUUACAAGCAGUGAUGUUGGGAUCCCACAGGCUUCCUAAGAGUUGAGAGCAAACCACUGAAUGAACUUGCUAACCUUUCCCUUAUUAAGUUCCCCAAAGGGCUUUACUAAAAAGAGAAACCCAAGUUCUCAGACAAAAAACCAAGAUAAUGUCUCCACUACACAGUGUGCUUUUUAAACAUUGCUUCCAGUGUCAGAGUACCUGCAGUCCAAGAAAGUUUAGAGACCCCAUGCCACUGCUUUGCUAAAGAGCGGUAGGAGGCAAAGAUUGAUUUUUUUUUUUUUUCACUAGCUUCUGUUCUCAGCUUCUAUUUGAAUUACGGGCUAAGGCCAGUAUUUUCUUCUCAGAAUAUGAGAAGGAACCACAGGUUGGGAUACAUGUCUAUGAUUAUGGAGUGAAUGAAUUUAGGAUCAGGAGUACGAUGACUUAGAUAAGGACACAGUUCUAGGUGCUCCAUCCAUCACAGCAUUGUGCUAGCUUUACUGAAUACAAAGAAGGAAGUGCCUCAAAGCUUGGAGGAUACUCUCACAGGUGAACUGUGUCAGAAAAAGUCAGUUGUUCCAUUGAUGUGACUUGCAAAUAAGGACAAGGUUGAUUUCCAUGAACAUGACAUGUGAUAGUGUUAUCUUCCCCACCUAAGAGACCAUUUCAGGCCCUGGCUUGAAACUAUCUUUCAUUCUAGGACUGAUUUCCAGGCCCUUAGACCUUACUCCCCCUAAACCCCAACCACGUUCCUACAAAUUUCUCUCUCCAUGAGGCAAGAGAGGAAGCCCAGUACUCCAGGGCUGUCUUUAGCAAGAACAGCAUUUGUAGCUUAGUCUGGUAAAGGGUGAAGGAUGCCUAAAAGAGACUAAUCCCUCCAAAUACCACCACUCUUAUUAACAUCCCAAGACUAUACUGCCUGGAAAUAAACAAAACUCCACCAGAAGUUGGGUAUUUCCGACUGAUUAUCCUAAAGAGAGUAUUCUACGAUUCAAGGGGCAGAGUUCUAAUAGUCUAGCAAUGGGAGAGGUCUAACACAGGUUGAGAGCAUACUUCUAGGUUAUUACUUAGACUAACACUCCCACCCUAAAUGUUUGCUAAUCCAAAUAGAAAAUCCUCAGGUUUCUCACAGCCAUAGGUCAGUAGCACUAGUGAGCCUGUGAAAGGACUCAGAGCUCCCUUAGUAUCAGGAAAGGCCUUUGAUUGGCACCACUAUAAGUAUGGUUUGGGCUAAAAUAUUAGUUUAACCAAGCAGUGGAGGUGUUUUCGUAUGACUGUUCUAAUACAUAAAACUUUACUAAGAAUCUUUCCCUGAAUAGGCUUUCUGCCCCAGUGGGCAAGUGCUAGCCAGGCAUCAGGAGCCCUGGCUGCUGCUGUCUUCAUCAAGCAACUUGAAUACAUAACUGCCCACUUUGAGCCUUGGUUUUUUCAUCUGUAAAAGAAUGGAUAGAGCUGUGCUGACUCAAUUUAUAACUAUCUUCAAAUAAUAAAGAGCAGAGUGCUGUAUUUACUUA